UACGUAUGGAGCAAGCGUUAUCCAGAUUUACUGGGUGUAAAGGGAGCGUAGACGGCAUGGCAAGUCAGAUGUGAAAGCCUGGGGCUCAACCCCGGAACUGCAUUUGAAACUGUCAGGCUGGAGUGCAGGAGAGGUAAGUGGAAUUCCUAGUGUAGCGGUGAAAUGCGUAGAUAUUAGGAGGAACACCAGUGGCGAAGGCGGCUUACUGGACUGUAACUGACGUUGAGGCUCGAAAGCGUGGGGAGCAAACAGG
rnacentral:rRNA from 1 species